UGCCAGCCGCCGCGGUAAGACGGAGGGUGCAAGCGUUAUCCGGAUUUACUGGGUUUAAAGGGUACGUAGGCGGUCUUGUAAGUCGAUGGUGAAAUCUAGCAGCUUAACUGCUAGCGUGCCAUUGAUACUGCUAGACUUGAGUAUAGUCGAGGUGGGCGGAAUUCUACAUGUAGCGGUGAAAUGCAUAGAUAUGUAGAGGAACGCCGAUAGCGAAGGCAGCUCACUAGGCUAUUACUGACGCUGAGGUACGAAAGCGUGGGAGCGAACAGGAUUAGAUA
rnacentral:rRNA from 1 species